UAUAUCAUUGAUUUAGUAUACGUUCUUCAAUUUGCUUUUUGAGAAAGUUCAUAAUAAGUUAUUCCGCGUCAUUUUGUUUGUUUGCAAGGAUUCGUACUCAUUAUGCUUCAUCCGUGUAUUAAAUAAGUGUUUUGUACCUUUUGCAUCACUGUACCAUGCAUAAUUUAUGUUUGUAUUUGCAUUUGAUCUAUUUUCUGCACCCUGGUAUAGGUUUCUGAUUUAAAAGUGUUACAUGUGUUACGUACACUAUAGGUAAACGUGUUUGGGAUCCCAAUUGUUACUAAUUUUAAACCUUAUGGAUAUGAGUCAUUCUUGUUUUGGCAAACGCUAACAAACAAUAAAGAUACCGAAGCGUCAGAUCACACCAUUUGCUUUAAUAAAUUUGCGCCUGUCUGUAUUUGGUUAUUACAAUAAAAAUAGUAGGAUACAAAUAAUGGAUAUAAAAAAUGCGGAUUUUACGACAUGUUGCCAUAGCAAACUUCAUGUGGCUUUAUAGUGUACAGCUUUUAUCAGACCAUAUUCAGUUAAAAAUUUGGAUAUCGGUCAGAGAUUGUCUCUAACAUGGGCUCGAAGUCAAGUAAAAGUUCAGGUUCAGAGCAACGAAAAAAGGGCGGCGAAUGGGAUUACAAAAUAUACUUCGAUACGGAAGCUUCUGACGCAACUAGUCUUAAAUACGACAACAUCAGAGAUUAUGAACUUAUUACCAAACUUACAGACCUUGUCGGUGUUAAUGAGGAUAUCAUACGUGUGACUGCAUAUGAAUUACCAUUGUUCAAAUGGCAACAAACCAAAUUGCAAAUAACUAAACUGCUGCUUUUUCACAUGUUCAUCGUGUUUGAAACAAAAAAAUGGUGGUGGUCAAUAGAAAAAGAUGGAAAUGGUAUCACUAUUCAGCGAAGUAAAAAACCAAAAAGUGUUAAAUUUAAUAUCAGACAGGAGCCCCGUCUAAAAGGCAUAACUAUGAUGCUCGACGACGAAGGACGUAUGAACGUGAAAAACCUUAUAUGUUGGUUGUAUCUAGAGAAAGAGUUGGAAAAGAAAUAUCAUUAUAUCAAAAGCAACUGCAAAGACUUCGGUAAAGCUGUAUUCAAUCAUGUUGCUAAAAAUAAAUCGAUUGUCCCUAAUUUGAAAUUUUUUCAAUUUUUGCAAAGAUUUAUCCUAUUUGUAAUGGCUUUGUAUAUUUCAU